UACGGAGGAUGCAAGCGUUAUCCGGAAUCAUUGGGCGUAAAGCGUCCGUAGGUGGCGUUUCAAGUCUGCUGUCAAAGCACAAGGCUUAACCUUGUAAAGGCAGUGGAAACUGAAAAGAGCUAGAGUGCGGUAGGGGUAGAGGGAAUUCCCAGUGUAGCGGUGAAAUGCGUAGAGAUUGGGAAGAACACCGGUGGCGAAAGCGCUCUACUGGGCCUGCACUGACACUGAGGGACGAAAGCUAGGGGAGCGAAAGGG
rnacentral:rRNA from 1 species